AUCUCAUGGUUAGGGAAUUUUAAGAUCUUCUCCUUAAAUCUUUUGCAAGCUUCAUACCACGGUUCUUCAUGGAAUUGAUGGAAAUUAAUAAUUUUGUUUUGUAAUU